GGUGACAGAGUGAGAGAGGGGGUGACUAGUGACCGAGUGAGGGAGGGAGUGGGUGACUAGUGACAGAGUGAGGAAGGGGGUGACACAGUGAUAGUCACCCCAUUCCUCCCUCUGUCACUAAUCACCACCUCCCUCACUCUCACUAGUCACCCCUUCCCUCCCUCUCUCUGUCACUAGUCAUACCCUCCCUCUCUCUGUCACUAGUCACAC